GCCAGCAUGGUGCAAUGGUUUGAGUGUUGGACUAGGACUCUGGAGACCAGGGUUUGAAUCCCCCCCUUGGCC
rnacentral:tRNA from 1 species